AGCCCAUUGUGAAAUUGGUGUUGUCUGAAGCAAACAGAAAUAUGACUGUCUAGUGGUGAUAUGUAGCACUUGUUUUAAAAGUGAUAACCCAAAAAUCUUCCUCUGCCUUCCUUGUCCAUCCAUGGCAAGUCUUUUGAAGACACAAUAACAAUUGUGUUAUGCAUAGGUACUAAGAAACAGUUUAAAGGAAAGCAAAAUAUCAGAGAAAACUGAGGAGAAAUGCAACCAUCAAAGAGAUCAGAGUUCAGCGGAAAGUGUACGUGUUUGCAGGCUGUGAGGUUGCCGGCGUGGUUCAACAGGCUGUGCAGCAACACCCAGCAUCAAGCCUGUCCCUGGGGAAGAGGCAGUGGCAUCCCCUUCAGGAUCGUGUCUGCUCCGGGCACCAUUUGGAGUCUCCAGAUUUUCUCAGCUCUGUAAGCUCUGUUGUUUGGCAUUGCACAUUUACAAGCUACAGUUCCCCAUAGGAGAAGCACU